rnacentral:rRNA from 1 species
UACGUAGGGGGCAAGCGUUAUCCGGAUUUACUGGGUGUAAAGGGAGCGUAGACGGCGAUGCAAGUCUGAAGUGAAAGGCGGGGGCCCAACCCCCGGACUGCUUUGGAAACUGUAUGGCUGGAGUGCAGGAGAGGUAAGUGGAAUUCCUAGUGUAGCGGUGAAAUGCAUAGAUAUUAGGAGGAACACCAGUGGCGAAGGCGGCUUACUGGACUGUAACUGACGUUGAGGCUCGAAAGCGUGGGGAGCAAACAGG